GCCGCCGUCCUCGAGUACCUGUCCUCCGAGGUUGGUCCUUCUCCUCCCUUUUUCUCUUCAUCAUUUAAGCUUUUGAGUUGCUGGCCGGCUUUCUUGCAAUGUUAGCCCACAGAGUGAUUUAAUUAAUUAGGAGCCAUUUCUUAUAAUAAAAUGUUGCAAUGGUGGAGGAAGAAGAAUGGCAUGACAACGUUAUUUUUGCUUUUUUAUUUUCCCCUGCUCUAUUUUUCUUGUUUCAAUCAUUUUGGUUGGCUGGUUUACUUCUUUGUUUCCAUGUCUAUGCUUUAAUGAAAGGAGGGUUAGGCAUUACAUAUGAUUUUUAUGAACCACUAAUAUCGUGAAGUUUCGGGUGAUGUAUCGUGGUGCUUCCCUGCUGCUAAGAGGGAUUUGAAAUACGAUUUACAGGCCGGCCCGACUUCGGUCGCGCCUACCAUAAAUUACUAAUCCGUUCCUUUCGGCCAGACCGGAGUUCGGAGGCAGAGAGCUUGGCGACCCUUUGGAUUCCUCGCGAAUCGUCGGAGGUUUGUGCUCGGGUACGGUUAGUAGCUGGUGUAACGAUCCUUUUCUUUUUGUUUCUAAUACUAUUUUGAUGAAUAUUCGAUAGAAAUGUUGCAACUCCGAUCAUAUUUUGAUCUGGAUCUGAAAUCGAAGUUUAAUAAAUGGGAAUCAAUGCAAGAAUCUGUGUGAAAUCUUCGGAUUAGUUGGAUCCAGAUUGCUUUCUUUCCCCACGUCAGGGCUAAGUUUCUUCGGUUUUUUUGUUCCUUGGGAAGACCUUGAUUCAGGAACUAUUUUCUUUUUGUCUUUUUUGUUUUAUCCUUCGAUUUCGUUAUCAAGAAUUACUAACCGUGAAACUUGG
rnacentral:lncRNA from 1 species